rnacentral:lncRNA from 1 species
CUUUUGUUCUUUAUCCAAAUACGUAAAGAUUAACAACAUCUAUUCACAAGAGACAAAAAAAUAGGUUAUGUGUUCAGAUAAUGAGAUAUAUGAUGAAAUAUAGUUUAAUAAUAAAUGAAAAAAAUCUUUGUUAGGUUUAACUCAGGCUAAGGUACGUAAGGUAGCAGGCGAGAAAUGCCUGAGUGGAGUUCCCACAUUAGGUUUUCAGCGGAAAAGGAAGCAAAGUCGAAAAUAGCUGUAUCCCUGAAAACCGUAUCAUCCAGUUGUUGGCAACUACACUAAGGCUAAACUCAGGCCUUUUCAUUAGGGGAGCAAUGUUAAAAAAAUAAUAGACAUUGAAUUGUUUAUACAUUUUUGGGACUCUGAAAACUGCUGCAAAUAGUGACAAGUUUUGCGUUGGUAGUUGUGGAAAUUGUGGUAAAAUAUAUAAUAUCUUAUAAAAAACAUAAUUAUAAUUAUGAUAUAGGUAAGUACAGAUGCUAAUUUCAGUGAUCUAAGAGGACAUUUCAUGAAAAAUGACACUUGAGAAUUUUUGGGUCAAAUGUCAGUUUCGUGAGAAUGACCCACCUUGCUUUCAAUAUACUUUGUAGCUCUCAUUUACUCAAGUGUUUCCAUUAUUUUACCAGUUACCUCCAAUUGUACUCCAGAAAAUUAUCAGAAUAACAUUUCCAAGCUACCACAGAAGAGGUCCAGAAAACGAUCAGAAUGACAUUUCCAAGCUACCACAGAAGAGGUCCAGAAAACGAUCAGAAUGACAUUUCCAAGCUACCACAGAAGAGGUCCAGUAAACGAUCAGAAUGACAUUUCCAAGCUACCACAGAAGAGGUCCAGAAAAACGAUCAGAAUUACAUUUCCAAGCAACCAAAGAAGAGGCAGACAUUUAGAACUAAAGUUUGAAUGAAAGCAAAAUGUCUCAAAAGUUUGCUUUUAAAAGAAGACUAUGGAAGCUCCGAAAUGUGAGACCACACUUUUCAAUUUUUUUAUUUAACAUUUAUUUUGACAUGGAAAUCAACAUUGAGACCCAAGUAUAUUUUAGAAGCGAGCCUUGGAUACAAAAAUAGCUCUAUAUACAAAAUAGGAGAUACAUAAAUAUACACGUUGUACCAUGUUCCUAUUAAAAUCUGAAGAUGACUGGGAGACUACAUGUUCCUAUUCAAAUCUGAAGAUGACUGGGAGACUACAUGUUCCUAUUCAAAUCUGAAGAUGACUGUAGGAGAAUACAUUUUCCUACUUAAAGUCUACCUCGGAGUUCAUUCCAUAUCUGGAGGACACAUACCAACACAAAAUCAUAAGGUUACACUGAAGACAACAACACAACAUACUAAGGUUACACUGAAGACAACACAGCAUACUAAGGUUACACUGAAGAUAACACAACAUACUAAGGUUACACUGAAGACAACAUACUAAGGUUACACUGAAGACAACACAAUAUACUAAGAUUACACUGAAGAUAACACAACAUACUAAGGUUACACUGAAGACAACAACACAACAUACUAAGUUACACUGAAGACAACAUACUAAGGUUACACUGAAGACAACAUACUAAGGUUACACUGAAGACAACACAACAUACUAAGGUUACACUGAAGACAACAACAUACUAAGGUUACACUGAAGACAACACAACAUCCUAAGUUACACUGAAAACAACAACACAACAUCCUAAGUUACCUGGAGACAACAACACAACAUACUAAGUUACACUGAAGACAUCAACACAGCAUAUCACAAAUACUACCCCAUGAUCUAUCAACUGAUCUCAUCAACUAUGAAACAGACAAGAGUCUGGUUGUUCUCUACUAAACACACUGCUUGUAUUGUCCAAUCGUAUGAUUGGAAUUCCAGUUGAUUAUCAUCAGUUUGGUUGUAGUGUUUUAUUAUUGGCUGGUGGACCUUCUUGUUUGAACUGAUGGAAAGCGUCUGGAUGAAGAUGGCUACUCAAGAUUGAAAAUGUGUUUGUAGAUCUGUCCCCCCCCC